rnacentral:rRNA from 1 species
UACGGGGGGUGCGAGCGUUGUCCGGAAUCACUGGGCUUAAGGCGUGUGUAGGUGGAUGGGUAAGUACCUUGUGAAAUCCCACGGCUCAACCGUGGAACUGCUUGGUAUACUGCCUGUCUUGAGGCACUCAGGGGCGAGCGGAACAGAUGGUGGAGCGGUGAAAUGCGUAGAUAUCAUCUGGAACGCCAAUGGUGAAGACAGCUCGCUGGGGGUGUACUGACACUGAGACACGAAAGCCAGGGGAGCAAACGGG